CGGUAAUUCCAGCUCCAAUAGCGUAUACUAAAGUUGUUGCAGUUAAAAAGCUCGUAGUUGGAUUUCUGCGGGGACGGAGCGGCCGGACGCAACUUGCGUCUCGAGCUAGCGCUUUCCCCGCAUCCUGCCGCGAACCGUGCUACCAUUAGUUUGGUGGCGCUGGGGAUCGGCUCGAUUACUUUGAGAAAAAUAGAGUGUUCAAAGCAGGCCACACGCCUUGAAUAAGUUAGCAUGGAAUAAUGACUAAGGACUUUGGUUCUUUUCGUUGGUGUUCGGGACUGAAGUAAUGAUUGAUAGGGACAGUUGGGGCGGUCCGUAUUCCAAAGCGAGAGGUGAAAUUCUUAGGCCUUCGGAAGACGAACAGCUGCGAAAGCGUUCCGCAAGGAUGUUCCCUUUGAUCAAGAACGAAAGUUGGGGGAUCGAAGACGAUCAGAUACCGUCGUAGUCUCAACUAUAAACUAUACCAGCUAGGGAUCGGCCAACGUUUAAUUAUUCGACUUGGUCGGCACCUUAUGAGAAAUCAAAGCAUCUGGGUUCCGGGGGGAGUAUGGUCGCAAGGCUGAAACUUAAAGGAAUUGACGGAAGGGCACCACCAGGCGUGGAGCCUGUGGCUUAAUUUGACUCAACACGGGAAAACUUACCAGGUCCAGACAUAGGAAGGAUUGACAGAUUGAUAGCUCUUUCUUGAUUCUGUGGGUGGUGGUGCAUGGCCGUUUUUAGUCGGUGAAGUGAUUUGUCUGCUUAAUUGCGUUAACGGACGAGACCCCAGCCUGCCAAAUAGCGCGGCCGAGCUUUGCUCGGUACGAGCUUCUUAGAGGGACCAUGAUGCGCGAUAGCACAAGGAAGUUUGGGGCAACAACAGGUCUGUGAUGCCCUUAGAUGUUCUGGGCCGCACACGGGCUACACUGGCGCCUGCAACGAGCAUAUCAGCUGGCCCGAGAGGGUCUUGGCUAAUCUUUGGAACCGGCGCCGUGCUUGGGAUUGACCAUUGCAAUUGUUGGUCAUGCAACGAGGAAUGCCUUGUAAACGCGAGUCAUCAGCUCGCAUUGAAUACGUCCCUGCCCUUUGUACACACCGCCC
rnacentral:rRNA from 1 species